AUUUAAAUAAUUUAAUAAAAAUAUUGAUUUGUGGAGUCAAAAAUGUAAAAUUUUACUUUAAAUU
rnacentral:tRNA from 1 species